UAUCAUCUUUUUUCGGUUCUUUUUCUCUUUCUCUCUCGUAAUCUGCUCGUAAUCUCUAUAAAUAAAUAAAA
rnacentral:ribozyme from 1 species